GCUCAGAAACUUAAAGGAAUUGACGGGGCCCGCACAAGCGGUGGAGUAUGUGGUUUAAUUCGAUGCAACGCGAAGAACCUUACCUGGUCUUGACAUCCCGGAGACCCUUAGGAAACUAGGGGUGCUUCCAUCUGGAAGAAUCUGGAGACAGGUGCUGCAUGGCUGUCGUCAGCUCGUGUCGUGAGAUGUUGGGUUAAGUCCCGCAACGAGCGCAACCCUUGCCUUUAGUUGCCAGCAGUUCGGCUGGGCACUCUAAAGGGACUGCCGGUGUUAAACCGGAGGAAGGUGGGGAUGACGUCGAGUCCUCAUGGCCUUUAUGACCAGGGCUACACACGUACUACAAUGGCCGAUACAAAGGGCAGCGACACUGCGAGGUGAAGCCAAUCCCGUAAAAUCGGUCUCAGUCCGGAUUGGAGUCUGCAACUCGACUCCAUGAAGUUGGAAUCGCUAGUAAUCGUGGAUCAGCAUGCCACGGUGAAUACGUUCCCGGGCCUU
rnacentral:rRNA from 1 species